rnacentral:rRNA from 1 species
GGACUACACGGGUUUCUAAUCCUGUUCGCUCCCCACGCUUUCGCGUCUCAGCGUCAGUACCGUCCCAGAGAGCCGCCUUCGCCACGGGUGUUCUUCCCGAUAUCUGCGCAUUUCACCGCUACACCGGGAAUUCCACUCUCCUCUUCCGGACUCUAGCCAAACGGUUUCCACCGACCUCUCGAGGUUGAGCCUCGAGUUUUCACAGCGGACCUGCUUGGCCGCCUACACGCUCUUUACGCCCAAUAAAUCCGGACAACGCUUGCCCCCUACGUAUUACCGCGGCGGCUGGCAC